AUUGAACGCUGGCGGCAGGCCUAACACAUGCAAGUCGAACGAGUGGCGGACGGGUGAGUAAUGUCUGGGAAACUGCCUGAUGGAGGGGGAUAACUACUGGAAACGGUAGCUAAUACCGCAUACCAUCGGAUGUGCCCAGAUGGGAUUAGCUAGUAGGUGGGGUAACGGCUCACCUAGGCGACGAUCCCUAGCUGGUCUGAGAGGAUGACCAGCCACACUGGGACUGGAACACGGUCCAAACGCCUUCGGGAGGCAGCAGUGGGGAAUGUUGCACAAGUGGCGCAAGCCUGAUGCCGCCAUGCCGCGUGUAUGAAGAAGGCCUUCGGGUUGUAAAGUACUUUCAGCGGGGGGGCGUUACCCGCAGAAGAAGCACCGGCUAACUCCGUGCCAACAGCCGCGGUGAUAC
rnacentral:rRNA from 1 species